AUGUUGUUGUUGGCUGGUAUUUUUAGGUCUUUUUUUUUUCUAUUCACUUGUUUCCCCUCUUGUCUUUACAAAGCCAGGCCAUCAGUUCCACUCUUGUCUUUUCUAGAAAGGCCUGAAGCCAGUCUUGCAAAGAGGUUGUGGCAGGCAUGCAUUUGGAUACCUGGAACUCUGAGCUCUGAAGGGUGCCAGAGCACCAAAAGCUGGAAGCCUUGACCAUGCCUUGGGAGGAGAAAUCUAUAGAGGCUGGUCUAUGUUAAGCAGUGGUUGGAGGGAGCAAGUCUGUGCCAAAGAGGAAAUGCAGCUGCCAAAUCUUUUAUAAAAACCUUAACAACUCACAGGCAUCAAGCUCCAGAAGAGUCUCCAAAUCCCAGAACUUCCUUCCGUGUCAUCGAAUCCUAGAAAUUCAAAUCUGACACUGUUGGCUUCAGGAAAACUGGGCACUUGAGAAGUCAGUGCUACGGACCCCUAUUUUCCAUCUGUGUGAUCUUGGGCAAGUUGCACCUCCAUUUUCCCCAUCGGUAUAAUAGCAAUACAGUAAUGAUAAGAUGGACCGCAGAGGGUGAGGGUUGAACACAAUUGUUUGAGAGAAAUGUUCAGUUCUGUGGCUUGAAUGUGGAAAAUUCUAGAUAAAUGUUGGCUACCAGAAUUAUAGCAGUUACUUAGAAACCUAAACCUUUGCAAACUGUAGCUUUUCUUUCCUUUUGUUUAGGUUUUUGAGGCAGAAUCUGGCUAUACAACCCUAGGCAGCCUUAAACUCUUGAUCCUUCUGCCUCAGCCUCCUGGGUGCUGGGAUUACUGGUGUGUGUUACAAUGCUGGGUGAAACUGGGGCUUUUCAAAGUAGAAUGUCACAAAAACUCAGGUGGAGGUCCAGAAUCAUCAGGCUAUAGUUAUAUUGUUCCUGAUAGGAUGGGAACCCUGGGCUGCCUUGUAUAUGGCUGGGUUUUUUUUUUCUUAAUCUUGUUUUUGUGGUGCUGAGGAUGGAACCAGAAGCCUUAUGCAUGGUAAGUAAGCCGUCUGCCACUGAGCUGCACACAGAGCCCUUCUUCCUCUAGCCCUUCCUUGUGCUGUUGGAUGCAGUAGUAUGGGGCUGUUAGGGCUGUUCGCGGGUGGGUGGCUGCUGGGUCAGAGCGCUCAAGCAUAAGCAUCAUGUGGAGAUCCUUCCCUCCUCACACAGAGACUCUCAGCAGAUUCUAGGAGCCAGUGAUUCUGAGACUCGUUGAUUCUGUGAAUUUGUGGUAGGAGUACACCCCACCUUCUUUCUCCAUGAACUGCAUUACAUGUCUCUUGACUUCUAUGGAAAGAAAGGUUACAGAGGUGUCCAGAUUUCCCAACCCUUGGCAAUAUGAAUGAUGGUGAUCAUAUUCAAUCUACCUAAGUAAAAAGCGAGGCCUGAAACAGGACAAGGCCUGUAGAAACCACGCACUAUUCCAUUGCUUUCUUUGGUGUUUCCCAUCCAAAUGUUGGGCUUCAGGUCCCUUCUUCUGUUCAAUGCAGUGACCCUCAUACGUCCUCCCAGGCACAGAAUGGUGUCUGUACCUACCUCGGGAUGCCUUUGUGAUUUGAGUUAUUUUCCCUUUUUUUCUGACUCUACACACUUUUGUUUAAGAAAUUGUGGUUUCUCAUGAGCCCUGUUAUCUCAUUGAUACCUUUUACCUCUGUGGUGAGGGGAAGAAAUCAUAUUUUCAGAUGACUUGUAAAGGGCAAAGAAAAAACCCAAAAUUUCAAAAUUUCCGUUUAAGUCUCAUAAGAAAAGAAUAAACAAAGCGAGAGAGAGAGAGAGAGAGAGAGA
rnacentral:lncRNA from 1 species